ensembl:lncRNA
GACAGGGUCACACGACAGAAUCCAGGCCAUCCCUGAAUUCAUUUUGUAGUCCAGGCUGGCUUCAAAUUCACGAUUCUCUUGCUUCAGCUUUCUGAGCUCUAGGAUUAGGAGCCUGCGCCACCAUCCCCACUUUGUACUGAGAUUUGAGUUCAGGUUUUCCUAUUCAUAUGCCCUUUUUUUUUUUUAAAGUAGGACUGGAGAUUGAAACUUGGGCCUUCACACUGAACUACCCCCAACCUUUGACACUGGAUCUUGCUGUAUAGUCCAGGCUGGCCUUGAACUCACUAUCUAGGUUCAGGCUGGGCUCAGACCUCCCUCAGCCUGCCUGGAAUUACAGGUGUGCACCACCGUGCCUAGUCCAGCCCUUAUAUUUUUCAUUUUGAGACAAGGUUUUGCUAAAUUGUCCAGGCUGGGUUUGAAGUACACCAGCAGACUGGGCUCUAGUCGUAUGUUUUUAAGUAAUCAAAUUAUAAUGACAUACAAAUAAUAUUUUACCUGAAUUUUUAUUAUGAAGUAGUAUUUUGGAGUCUAGUUUGUUGAUAGACUUGUGAUGAUUAGAGGAUUUCUGGAAAAAAGUCUUUUUAAACCACUUUUUGGGUGACUUAAUUAAUUUUGUAGUAAUACUUGUAUUUAAGUAAAAUUGAAAGGAAUAAUACUCAGUGAAAAAAAUAUAUCUCCUCCUUCCAUUUCCUUUCCUUGGAGGCAGUCUUAUACUACUUCUCUGUUUUCCAUUUUGGUGAUGCUGAGGACUGAACCCAUGGUAACUGUGCUUUUAUGUGUUUUUCCAAGUAUAGGUUUUUUUUUUUUUAAAGUAGAUUUUAUGUAUGCUAGGAUUAUAGUUAUGUGUCACCACACCCAGCUCUAGGCUGGAAGAAUUUUGAGGUACAUGCUUCUUUUUUUUUUGGUACUGGGAAUCGAACUCAGGACCUUGCCCUUGCGAGGCAGGCACAGCACCACUGAGCUAAAUCCCCAGCCCUGGUACAUGCUUCUUUUUAAUAUUUAUUUAUUUAUUUUUGGUACCGGGGAUUGAACUCAGGACCUUGUGCUUGUGAGGCAGGUGGCAGAACCACUGAGCUAAAUCCCUGGUCCUACUUAUUUAUUUUUAAGACAAGGUCUCAGUAUGUGAUUCAGGCUGGCCUUGAACUUACUGUGUAGCCCAGGCUGGUCUCAAACUCCUGGUGAUCCUCUUGCCUCAGCCUUCCCAUGGAUUACAGCUGUUUACCACCAUGCCUGGCAAGUUAUAUGCUAUUAAAAAGCUUAGAUUAGCCAGACGUGGUGGCACACGCCUGAAUCCCAGCCUUUGGGAGGCUGAGGCAGGAGGAUCACUGAGAGUUCAAGGUCAGCCUGAAUUACAUAGUGAGACCCUCUCUCAGAAAGAAAAAAAAGCCUAGAUUACUUUGAAGAGACUGUUGGUAGAAAUAGGAAUAUUAAAAGUGAGUGUGGUGAGGACUCAGAAAAAGAGAGCUGCAAGACAUGCAAGCAGAUCACCACAACCAGAAGGGUGACAGAAAUACAUACAUACAUCAAGAUGUCACUGGAGAAGGCUUGGGAGGAGUAAAAUGCAAAGAACAAAGAGUUAAAUUGAAAAGGAAAUAAGGAAAAUGAAACCAGAACUUGAAGAUUUGGAAAAUUCUUAGCCUAACCACAUUGGAAAAUAAUAAGAAGGUAUUGUGGAGAGAGUGUCCAGGGCGUGACAGGAGUCACCUUGGAAGAGAGGCUGGUUGUGGGACUUCCGGUCCAGUUAGGCAUCCGGAAGGAGCCUGGCACAGGCAUAGCAUUACCCAGAAGGCUCUGGGGGACUCAUCUCAUGACGUAGAUUCCCAAGAGGUAGUGCACAGGAGGCCAGUAAGAUGGGACCAGGAGAAAGGCCACCAAGCUCAGAUGUAGAGGACAGAGACAGGAUGAGACCGAAGCCAGGCUUCGGGACUUCUGGGGCUCAGCAGGACAGGACCCCAGAGGUGGGCGGAGC